rnacentral:rRNA from 1 species
CGGACGGGGGAGUAAUGUCUGGGAAACGUGCCUGAUGGAGGGGGAUAACUACUGGAAACGGUAGCUAAUACCGCAUAACGUCGCAAGACCAAAGAGGGGGACCUUAGGGCCUCUUGCCAUCGGAUGUGCCCAGAUGGGAUUAGCUAGUAGGUGGGGUAACGGCUCACCUAGGCGACGAUCCCUAGCUGGUCUGAGAGGAUGACCAGCCACACUGGAACUGAGACACGGUCCAG